AGGAAUGCUUCCACAAUGGACGCAAGUCUGAUGGAGCAACGCCGCGUGAGUGAAGAAGGUUUUCGGACCGUAAAGCUCUGUUGUUGGUGAAGAAGGAUAGAGGUAGUAACUGGCCUUUAUUUGACGGUAAUCAACCAGAAAGUCACGGCUAACUACGUGCCAGCAGCCGCGGUAAUACGUAGGUGGCAAGCGUUGUCCGGAUUUAUUGGGCGUAAAGCGAGCGCAGGCGGAAGAAUAAGUCUGAUGUGAAAGCCCUCGGCUUAACCGAGGAAUUGCAUCGGAAACUGUUUUUCUUGAGUGCAGAAGAGGAGAGUAGAACUCCAUGUGUAGCGGUGGAAUGCGUAGAUAUAUGGAAGAAUACCAGUGGCGAAGGCGGCUCUCUGGUCUGCAACUGACGCUGAGGCUCGAAAGCAUGGGUAGCGAACAGGAUUAGAUACCCUUGGUAGUCCAUGCC
rnacentral:rRNA from 1 species